UAGGUUUGACAUGGACGUGGUAUCCGGGGCGAAAGCUUUGGAGACCCGCAAGGGAGCGUUCACAGGUGCUGCAUGGCUGUCGUCAGCUCGUGUCGUGAGAUGUUCGGUUAAGUCCGGCAACGAGCGCAACCCUCGCCUCCAGUUACCAGCGAGUAAAGUCGGGGACUCUGGAGGGACUAACCCUUUUGGGUGGGAAGGUGGGGAUGACGUCAAGUCAGUAUGGCCCUUACAUCUAGGGCUGCACACGUGCUACAAUGCCUGGUACAAAAGGAACCAAGACCGCGAGGUGGAGGAAAUCCCGAAAGCCAGGCCCAGUUCAGAUUGAAGUCUGCAACUCGACUUCAUGAAGCCGGAAUCGCUAGUAAUGGUAGAUCAG
rnacentral:rRNA from 1 species